rnacentral:rRNA from 1 species
CGAAAGCCUGACGGAGCAACGCCGCGUGAGGGAGGAAGGCCUGUGGGUUGUAAACCUCUUUUCUCAAGGAAGAAGUUCUGACGGUACUUGAGGAAUCAGCAUCGGCUAACUCCGUGCCAGCAGCCGCGGUAAGACGGAGGAUGCAAGCGUUAUCCGGAAUUAUUGGGCGUAAAGCGUCCGUAGGCGGUUAUAAAAGUCUGUUGUUAAAGCUCACAGCUCAACUGUGAAUGGGCGAUGGAAACUGUAUGACUAGAGAGUGGUAGGGGUAGAGGGAAUUCCUAGUGUAGCGGUGAAAUGCGUAGAUAUUAGGAAGAACACCAGUGGCGAAGGCGCUCUACUGGGCCAUUACUGACGCUGAUGGACGAAAGCU